GCCCACGUAGCUCAGGUGGUAGAGCGACGCCUUGGUAAGGCGUAGGUCACCGGUUCAACCCCGGUCGUGGGCUCCA
rnacentral:tRNA from 2 species